AAUUGUGAGAAAAAGUUGGAAUUACUUUUUAAAAUAUAUUUAUUCUGUAGCAGAAACAAACUUUGAUACAAAUCUCAUUUGCACUUCUGCAUAUUUUAACAUGGUGCAUCGCAUUCGGUCAGCAGACAAGAACCUAAAGCAUUCAGUAUCAAUAACGUCAAACCUGGCAUCUUGCCGCUUAAUCAUAUUUAAAUGUAAGUAAAUUUGAAAUAUAUUUGAGUUGAUUAAUUUUAGUGUAUUUUGGUCUUUCUGACACAACGUUAUCGUUUGACAUCAGAGGACUAGAAAUGCAUGAGUUUGACGGUCUCUCAUUCCUCUUUCACUGUAUGCAAAAGCUGUCCUUUUUUCAGUCCAAUAAAUACUAAAACAAAUUUGAGGAUGAGUAAAUGACAGAAUGUUAGAGAAGAUUACCGCGUAAAAUCCCGAGUCUCAAACGAUCCCUUCGGAAAACAGAUUGUAGAUGAUUCUAUUUAUUGUAGUUUGUUAUGUUGUUGUAGUUGUUGUUGAUGUAUCGAUGUUUCUGGAUUGUGUACAGAUAUCAUCUUGUGAAUCUUGCGGCGUGUGACAUUGUGACUGUGGUGAUGUACCCUGUCUAGUGUCUCUCCGGACACACGGCCAAACGCUCAUCAGACACACCGCGAUCGCUUUUGAAUAGAUUCCUUUCUCUCUUAGUUUAAUGGUUUAGUUUGUUUGCAUCCUCAGUCCUGACUGAGUUCUCUGUGAUACCUGACUCUAGCUCAGCUCUCUAUAGGCUUAUGUAACGUAACAUAACAUCCCCAGAGCAGCAACCAAGGGCUUCAGAUGUGCUCACGUCAUUCACGGUGGUUUGCAUUAGAUCUCGUAUCGUGUGCAUGUCUGUACGGUUAGUCACUGAUCGGUAGAUUCGUCUCUAUUAAGCCUCUGUUAAGCACUGUGCUUUGCGCUUGAGAUCAAUUUAACGAGGUGUAUUUUUAAAACACAGCGCCUCCACUGGAGAACAUCGGAAAAGCCAUAUUAUCAUGUUUCGUUUGCGAAGGCGUAUUCGGAUGAACUUCCUGUUGCAGCAGAUCGAUGGAAUACGGUUUAUUUUCUUCACAGUGUCUUUCUCUAGUUUAAUGCCACUUCUUUUCCUCUAUGCAGAGAUUAUUGGGCACUGUGCACGAGCGUCUCCUCUAGACACGUUUGCGAUGUCGUUAAUAACCACUACAUGCACGUAUCACGAAACUGAUGCUGAAGCCAUAGACGCAUAAUCAUGUCAUUUAAUUGUCAAAUUGGAUGUCACGGUAUUAAAACAUAUCAGCCUUGAUAAUGCUGCAAAAGCUUCGCGAUGCUGAAGAUGUGUCGCUGUUGGCGUAACAGAAACACGAUUCGAGAGGUGUUUUAUCCUGCUUUUAGUCGAUGUGUCCAAAACAGUUACCACUGAAUUAGACUAAAAAUGACCACAGACAAAAAUCUCGUUCAAACCUGUCCACUUCAGAAUAUGCAUAAAAAAACGCAUAAAGAAAAUGAAGCUUAUUUUUUGAGCCAAUACAGUUUUUGACAUUUCACCUAGAUAUCGUAACAUAUACACAAUGCCUGGAUUUCUAUUAUUAUAACACAGUUUUUUGUUCUUUGCUUUAUAAUAAUGGCACCGGGGGAAGGAUGUGAUUUUGUCAUCAUAAACAUUAUGCCGUAAUGCAAAAACCUAAAAAUAGGCUUCAUUUACUUUUGCACAAUAUGAUUUUCUUUCAUAGUUCUGACUGAUGUUUUGUUCUUAAGUUGUACAUACAAAUAUGUUGAUUAUUGAUUAAUUUAUUUAAUGCAACUGUAUCUUGUUUUGGCGUACUGAGGUUUGUGUACUAACUGGACAAGCGGGAGGGCGUUUAUUCAUCAGUGUGAGUGUGAUGCUCAGAUCAGGUCUGCUCUGUUGGGUUUAUUGUAGGACUCUGGGUUCAAGAUCCUUUUCUAUAUUCUUCUGUUUUGAUAACUUUACAGCAUCAUUUAUGUGUCUUUUCAUCAUAUCUUUCUUUUUUUGUAUUUUAUUGUAGUGUUGUUUCAAAUGCUUGUUCUGUUUCUUAGUGAUGCUUCUCAGCAUAAUAUGAGUGUGUUGUAGUAGCCAUGCCCUUGUCAUGUCAUGAAAUGUUCGUAUGAGAAGCCACUGGCUGUAAAUGCAAGAAAACAUUUAAGGAUCAUUCACUCUCACACACACACACACACACACACACACACACACACACACACACACUUUUUUUGCUACUUGUUUCAGAAUGUUAAGAGAACAUUUGAAAGUAAUGUUCUAUAAUGUUUGCAAACUGUUUAAAUGGAGUGUUUCCUUAAUCACUGAAAACCUGUCUUGACUUAUUUUCUAAAUUACAAUGAAUAAUAAUAAUAAUAAUAAUAAUAUUUUUUCUUUUUUUUUUGUCCCAGACAUAUUUCUUGACUGUUUUCGUGAGAUCCACACGCGGUACUGGUUUAAAGAUAGAGGCAUUGUAACUUUAUUUUUCUUUGUUUCUUGACUUCACAUUCCUGAAACAUUGAGGUGGAAAUGUAGAGACCUUGUAGAGGUUGUUUGAGCUGAAGAGCCGAUGAUAAACAUGUUAGACCAGGUGAUGUUACUGUAGAAAUGGAAAGACGAAUAGAGAGACAUAUCAUAUAUGGAUAAUAUAAUGUGGUUGUGAUGAGGAUAAAGAUAAAGAUGCAGUGCUGUGAUGAAGUCGGGUAGAAUAGCUGCUUGGAAAUGAAAACAGAUAUUGAACUUUGGUUGGUCUUAGACUCUCGCUGAAGGACUUCUUUGUUUUGGCAUGUUUUGGUCAUUGCAUAUUUAUUUAUAGAUGUGAUGCUCUUUUUUUUCUACGUCGCUUCAUAAGACACUUUAGCUUAAAACCGCUUUGCAGAUCGCUGUUCUCGCUGAUCGGACUCAUUUUUCUCUUCUGACAUUAAACGUUAAACCUCCGUGAGCGGACUGCUGUCAGCAUUUCUUCAGUGAUUCUGUUUGCUUUCUUUCUUUUGUCUGACGUUGCAGCAACAAAGUGAUGGACACUCAGUAUGGAAAUCUGUUUGUGAAAUAUACCUGCAGAUGUGGCUUCUCUCUUGGAGUAAAUUAGGCUGAACCGAAAUGAUGCCGUUUUGUCAUUGUGCUUAAAUGAAUAUAUAAAUAUCAAAUUCUAUAUUAAAAUAUAUUUGCUAACCUA